GGAUGAACUUUUGCAAGGCUACAAAUCUUGUUAAUAGUGAAGCUAACGUUCAGACCCAAGUGGUUCGGCUCUAGACUUUGUCUCAGUUACUGAAUUGAACUCUCUGUGCACUUACGAUGUGUCAUACCAGUUCUCACUACAUAGUGUCCCAAAAGAUUGGGCCUGCUCUUUCUUUCAGAGACAAUUAGGAAAAAAGUAAACAAACGGAGCAGGAUUUGGGCAUAACAGCAUGCUCCUCCCAUCCCCCAAAUCCCAGGAGUGUCACUGAGGCAGGAGAAUCGCUUGAACCCAGGAGGCAGAGGUUGCAGUGAGCCGAGAUCACACCACUGCACUCCAGCCUGUAAUGUCUUACAAUAACAGAAUGCAGGAGAGCACAUAUCAAUGAAGAAAAGACAAAAUGUACUUAUCCAUGAAGCUGAGGUUAAGAAACCAGUGUCUUCAAGAGCCAGGGACAGCACUGGGUCUGUGCAGAGUUGAGAGAUGGUGAUGACAUGUGGUUUCCAGCAUUCCUCACCCAGUCCAGGGACACUGUGGGUGUGCCCAGCUUAAGUCCAGUAACUGGAAAUACAAGCCCAAGUUCUGGAGAGUUUGAGCUGCAGAGAUAUAUAUGGGAACACUUUGAAUCUUGACUCAUUGGCCAUAACCAGCAGAGUGGAAAAUACAAGAAGAGAAAAAAACAUUGAACUGCGAUUUUAUAACAUCCUUUACUAGGCAGAGAGAAGAGGAAACACCAGGAAAGAAAACUGUAUUACGAUGUGAAAACUUAAUGUUGAGAAAUUCAGGCAUCUUGGGGUUAGUGAGGAGAAGUUUUAGGGGCUUAGAUUCUUCUAAACACAUGUACAGAAAUGCAUAUUUCAUCUGAUAUCAAAUGGCAUUUAUAGUGCUAAUCUUUACCUCAAGACUUCACAUCUUUUGGUGAUUGCAUCUUUUAGGUUUAUAGCAGCUAAGUUUGCAUGAAAACACCAGGGCUGUUUCAUUUCAGUCAAGAAUUAAUGUUCAUUGAUUGUGCUUCUGCAUUUCAUGUAACUAUUGUAGAAUUUGUUUUAGUUUUAUGAGGGAAUAAUUGUUCCAACUUCUAUAUAACUCAGGAAUUUACUCUCAAACAACACUGUCAAUUAGUUACUUAUCUCUCUGGAAAUGAUCUGGGAACAUGGAGAGGAAAGGGAGGAAGGGGCAAAAUCUGACCACUUAAAUCUAAGCAUAUUAGAUCAUUUUAUGCUAGAAAGUCCUGAAUGAUGUGACUUUCGUUCUUGUAAAACACCUCUUUCCAUAGAUUCAUGGCCCAAACAGUAUAUAAAGAGUGGGGAAGGAACUGCAUUUGCAAAUAGUUCAAAUCAUUGCUCCAUCUUAACUACGCAGUUCACAAAGUGUGAAGAAAUGUGAUCAUCUCAAAAAAGAUAAUGGGGAAAAAAUAUGUUUUGUUCUGUGACUUUAAAGUCUUGCAAUAUUUUACAUAAAUGAUAAUGGGUGCUUUAAUAAGAACUCUUGAUACUUUUGUUAUUGUAUUCAAUAUAUGCAUAUAAUACAACAGGAUGAUAUUGUUUUGGAUUUGGAAAUGUAUUCUUUCUUAUGCAAUCUUAUGCAGUCAUACUGCUUGAAUAUCAUUACCUGAAUUUAUCUUUCUUUUUUUUGUUGUUGUUUUACACUCUACUUAUUUGGUGCCUGUCAGUCUUUUGUCGUCAGUUUAUAUUCUACUAAACUCAAAAAGACAAUCUCAUACCUUUUGUAAUUGUAGGCAUUCUUUACUAGAUUUUUAAAUACACUUCAAAAAUUCAAGUACUUUGAUUUCAUGCCAUCAAGUAGCUGAAUCUAUCCCCCCGUCUCUUUUUAAAUUUAAGUGAGUAGUUCAAUUUCUGUCACUUUCUACUUUGUGAAUUCUAAAUCUUUUAAAACCAUCUUGCCAUUUUUCGUGCACUUACCCUUACAGAAAACUCUGUGAAACACUACUUAUCUCUACUUUUAUGUUUUUAACUCCUUUUUUAUAUUACUAUUCCCUCUGCUUUCUAAAUGCACAUAUUAAUUUGUUCUUUUUAUUCUCUGUAGCUCUUCUCAGUGUAUGAAUUCAGUUUCCCAUCAGUCUCCAUACAAUUAAAAAAAAGUUGAGUAUUCUGUUAUUUUAAUAAGAUAUCUAGUGCCCAUAUUCUAAUUCUGCCCCUUAUUUUUAAUAUAAUUUUAUUGUUGAUUUAAAAUGACAACAGUUUCAAUUCCCAGAAAGUGAAAGGAAACAAAGGAAUAAUAUUAUAGGCUUAAUUUUUAUCAGUGAACUUGUAGGUGAAGAAAAGAUUUGGGGAAGGAAAUGAACAUAUUAUAUUGCAAAAUAGUAAGGAACAAUCAGAUGUGUUUUCUAGUCUCUGGAAAAGCAUGUUUCAAGAAAUUCAAUGAAAAGUUCAUCAUGCUUGCUUAGAUUGUUGAGAAGCAAAAACACUGAUGAACAUUUGGAAGCAAUGAGAAUGUAAUUCUAAUCAUACUCUUUUAAUAAUGUUGCAAAACUCUCCAAACACUACUCUGUGUGGAUGUCUUUCAGAAUAUGAUGAAUACUAGUAGUCUUAUUCUGCCCUUUUCUCUCUAUCACAAUAUAUACAUUCUAUAUUGCAUACACAUAUUUUCCAAAUAUUACAUAUAAUUUCAUGUAAUUUAUAGACCUAUUAAGGCCCAACCAUUUUCUUGGAUAGGGGAUUCUUUAGAAGUCCAGCUUAAAUAAAGCCCGUAUAGAAAGUUUUUUUAAAAUUUAUACAUAAUCACCUAAAGUAACCUUAUCUACUGAACUCUUAGUACAUGCUACUGGAACCUUUUAUCAUGUUUCUUCCUGGCUUGCAUUACAACACUGUUGACAUAUCUCAGCCUUACUUCUAGGCUUCUUUGAGAGCAUGACUCAUGUUUGUAUUCCUCACUGAGGUUGAAUGAAUAAGAGAAACUACAGUAGUAGGAAAAAACAGUACAUGUACAUAUCAAUGAAUAUGAAAGGGUCAAAUGGAUCUAUUAUAGUAAGCACAAAAUCAACUGACACCAGCAAAGUAAACCCAAAAUUUUUAAUGGUAUUUUAAUAGAUCAAGAGGAGCAAGCAGAUUUUUGAGACAGUUGUCUCCUACUUUCUCUAUCACAGGGAGUAAUUUUAAAAGAAAAAUGGAGGGUAAGUUUCUUUAAGAGAAAAUUGUAGUUUAAAACAGGUCAUGGGAUAAUUAGAAAUAAUUUAAUUUCUUUAGAGGAUUUUAAUCUUUCAACUGCUUGCAAUUAGAUCCUAAGGCAAUAAAAGAAUAAGGAGAUUUGGAAAACCAUUGUCUGUAAUCUCUGAAGAAAAGUGGACAUUAGGGGAGUCAGUUGAAAAGCAAAGCUAUCACCAUUUUCUAAAGAGGAAAAAGGUGAACCUCACAAACUAUAGACCAAAAAAAUAGGACAUCGAGAGAAAGAAUAUGAAGCUAGCAUAGGUUCACAAAGAAUGAGUCAAAUCAAACAACAUGCAUUUUUUAUUUAUAAAGCAUGACUUGUUCAUUGUCAAUUCAUGUUAGCUUAAUCAUUAGGCAUUAAUGCCAUCACUGCAAUGCAUAUGUCAGCAAUAAAUAAUCAAAGACCAGGCUUCCAUCAUUCUGUUUAAUAUCUUCAAGUAAUGCUUAAGUUUGCAAAUGCUCUUUUAACACAUUCUCCAUAUGCAGCCUGCCCAGCACUGCACACAAUAGACCUGUUACUUCCCCCUCACGAGCACUCCUAAUAUUUCAUGUGCUCAUCCAAUUGACUUCUCCCACUGGUGCCUCAUAUUGAAUUUGUAGAAUCACACCUGCUCCUUUUUCAAAACUCUUCUGAGUUUUUUCUUAAAUAAUUCACUGACCCCAAAGUUGUCAGAUAUUUGAAGACUACUCGCACAAUUUUAAUAUUAUAAAUGUAUAAUGUAAAUGUAAUUAAGAUUUGUAUAAUGUACGAUGUACUUUGGUAAAUAAAAGUAUGCUGUGAAUAAAUACGUAUGAUACAAUUCAAAAUUUUACAUAAAUAUGUGAUAAAAUUUAGCUCAUAUUCUUUUUUUUUUUCUUUGAGACGGAGUCUCACUCUGUUGCACCCAGGCUAGAGUGCAGCAGCAUGAUCUCAGCUCACUGCAACCUCUACCUCCUGGGUUCAAACAAUUCUCCUGCCUCAGCCUCCUGAGUAGCUGGGAUUACAGGUGCCCGCCACCAUGCCCAGCUAAUUUUUUUCUAUUUUUGUUGUUGUUGUUGUUUUUAGUAGAGACGGGGUUUCACCAUGUUGGUCAGGCUGGUCUUGAACUCCUGACCUCAGAUAAUCCACCUGCCUCGGCCUCCCAAAGUUCUGGGAUUACAGACGUGAACCACGGUGCCCGGCCUAGUUCAUGUUCUUUAAGGACAAUUAUGAAUAUUUUUAUGCACUGUUAAUUUUCAUUAAGAUAUUGAUCAAUUAAUAGCUAUAUAUGUUCUAUAAAUUAAUCCUAUCUAGUUUCAAUCUUAAAUUGUUUGCAUAUACCAAUCUAGUUUAUUGUUUGCAUAUAUUUUAUAGUGUAGAGAUUAGGCAUUUUAAUAAAAUUUUAAAAUUUCCAGGACAUACUGUUAAUGACUAUGCUUCCUACUAUAGGCCAUAAUUAAUUUUUUUCUAUUGUCAACAAUAUUUUGGUAGGGAUGAUCAGGAAAUAAGGAAAUGUUUCCUUCAUUUGUUAACAAUAGGUGUUUGGGGAUUUUAAAAUGAAAAUUGAAGAAGUAAAAGACACCAUAUAUUUAGUUUGUUUGAUUUCGUGGCUUCAAGAGUUCAAUAAUUUAUUGAAAUAUUUUACAGACCAAAGAACAACAGAUAUAUUACGUUUAUAAGCCCCCACAUAUUUUAAAGGAUAAUGGUUUAUAUAUGAAAAUUCCCUGAACCUACACUUCAUCAGGAAAAGCUAAAUAAAAGAAGUUUACAUUUCCUAGGACUAAUGGAGAUUUAUUUCCCAGUCCUCUUCUCUGGAGACAAAUGUAGGUCUCUCUUGAAAAGCAGAAAGUUUUGCAUAUGAGGUAUGAUUUAGUGGGCUAGAAACAUCUUUUCCACCCUCCCCAAAAUGUUUCACUAUGUUUUAUCAUACUAUCUGAUAAUUUUGCACUAAAGUUUUCUUUCUGUGUUAAGAAAAUGCAAAUAUCUCUGAAUGGGUCUCUUUGCUUUAGUCAUACUCAUAUGGCUACUACUGAACAAAAUAUGUUCAUUACAGGAUGAAGGGAAUGUUGCCAGCCAGCAAAUCCCUAGAGUUUGCACUACACCAAACGUUGCUUAGCAAUUUCCACGAUUUUCUCAGUCUAAUUUGCAAGAAUCAAGGAGAUGUUUGUGUAUGCUACAUGAAGUUGUAAAAUUGGUAUUUAUUGUAUGUUUCUAUAUCGAAAGCUUUACAAACAAAGGAAAUGGAAAGUUAACAGGUGGAUAUGAUAGUGUGGCACUACUUUAGCUGGAUGGUAAGGGAGAGCUUCUCUUAGGAAGUGUUUUAGGCCAGGACUUGAAUAAUGAACAGUAUCUAGUUGUACAAAAAUCUGGAGGAAAGACUUUUCAGGCCCAGGAGAAAUGAAAAUUCUUUUCAUGCAUACAAGAAUGAAAGUGAAAAUUACCUACUCUAUGUCCUGAAGUGGGAAGUUGGCUUGCCAGAGAGUAGGUAAUUUUCACUUUGAUUCUUUCAUGCCUUCAGUUAUACUACUUCUUAGGUUAGUUCAUAAGGGUUUCCACAAUUUGGUUCCCACUUAAAAUUUAAAACUUCCCUAACCCAUUCCCACCAUAUAUUGUGCUAAUCCAUGCAUAUGUGACUUUGCGUAUGCUGUUUUCAUUGUUUAAUAUUCUUCUCAUGCAUUCGUUCUUUCCUGAUAACGAACUCAUCUUUGAAACUCCCCUUCAAGCAUCCUCUACUUUAGGAGGCCGCUUCUCACUGUCUCCUGCCUACCACCCAUUGAAUUGUUCAAUUUUUAAGCUGCCAUUGUCUUGUGCAGUUGACACAUUUCUUUGCAAUUACUGAUUUACAUGUCUGCUUUUAUCACUGGUGAGGUUCUUUAGGACAGAGACAUUAUUAAUUCAUCUCUGGGCACAUAUGUUCCAACAUAUUAGAAGUACUACAGAGUGCUAUUACUAUGUAGUAUGUAGUAUUAGUAGUAGUUACUCACAAAUCAUUUUUAAAUAAGUGAUUAUAAUAUCUUUUUGUUAUUAUGAUUUAACACAAGAUGGAAUUUAUUUUCAGAAGUUUCCAUGAUAUAUUUGUUCUAUUUAAAAUCCAAUAGCCAUUAGAAUAUUACCAUUAUUUAAUGUAAAACAAUAAAAUAUUAAAUAUGAUCGUUCAUAUUUAAUGCAAACCGAACUCAUGGAAAUAUUGUGUAAAGAUCAAGUAAUUUUUGACAUACAAUUUUAAACUCAACUUUUCAUAUAGCAUACCUUAUGAUAUAUUUUCAGCCUACUUUUAAAUAUGUUGGCAUUGAAAGCCAGUUACUAAUUCGCUGAAUUCAUGAUUUCUUUUUAAGUUAUAGAAGUGGAAUUAUGUUUGAGAUAUUCAUUGCAUUACAUUUACCAGAACUUGAGUUCUUAACAUGGAACCUGAGAGUUUCUCCAAUUCUUAAGUCCCUGGGAGAAAUAGAUUAGCUGGAUGAGGAACUGAGAGGAAAAAUGGUCAGAGAUGUAGCAAGAGUUGGGAAGAAGGAACAAUGAUUUGCUUUCAAGGAGAUUUUUUCAUUGGUCUGUUUUCAGUGACAAACCCACUGCGAUAAUACAUGUAAAGUGAAAACAUUCAGGAAGUUCCCUUAGAAACCUCUUUUCUGGCAGUUCCUAAUUCUACAACAUUGUAUAAGUGAAAUACCAUAGUUACUGUCAUAGUAAAUUGAGCCAAGAGAAACAAGGGAGCAGGAGAAGAAAAGAAUUAAAGAGAGUUUUGUCUUUCAGUCUUCACUCUGUUUCUUCUUGCUUUUACCAGUCAUUCAGGUUUAUAUAAUUUCUUUAGAGAGGCUUCUACUAUGCAGGUCUUCCUUAAAGUCAUUGGUAUUACCUGGCAUGAUAUGUGAGCCUUUAAUAUCAGUCCCUUUAUCUCUUUAUUUUUAAAGUUUAUAUCAGUACAGAGUCCUGGAUUCUUAAUUAAUUUAAUAGGUUAGACUUUAUGCUAAUAUUCUUCAUUUUGAUGCUCAAAUUUUCCAAAAUUUGGCCAGCAGGGUUCCUUAAAGCUGGGUACCUUGCCCUUUCAACAUGUCCCUCUGAUUCUUUAUUUUUAUUUACUUAUUUAUUUAUUUAUUUAUUUAUUUAUUUAUUUAUUUAUUUAGAGACUGAGUCUUGCUCUGUCUCCCAGCCUGGAGUGCAAUGGCACAAUCUUGGCUCACUGCAACCUCUAUCUCCCAGGUUCAAGCAAUUCUCCUCCCUCAGCCUCCCGAGCAACUGGGACUACAGGCAUGUGCAACCAUGCCUGGCUAAUUUUUUUUGUAUUUUUAGUAGAGACAGGCUUUCACCAUGUUGGUCAGGCUGGCCUCGAUCUCCUGACCUCAAAUGAUCCAUCGCCUCGGCCUCCCAAAGUGCUGGGAUUACAGGCGUGAGCUGCCACACCCAGCCGUCCCUCUCAUUCUUUAAGUACUUCCAUGUUUUCUAAGGUACAAGAUGUUCCAUAUUAUUUUGUUAUUUGUCUUCCCCAGCUCUGAAAUCUGCCUUUCCUUCAAGGAGCCUUGGUUCUUUCUAGUGACAAAUUAUAUUUAGAAAGAAGAUCUGGGUAUUUGACUUGUAUAUUGCUAUUAAUUGGCCAUUGUUUCUAGUCUCUUUCAGUAGACAGAGCUAAGAAAUGUAAAAGGAAAUAUUUGAAUGUAUGUAUAUGUGAUAUAUUAAGUACAUUUAAACAUAUUAAAUUCAUGAGUUCAUACUAAUACUUUCAAUAAGCCACAAUUCCCUUUUCAUGUUUUCGAAGGAAAAAUAUCCAUUGUCUAUAUACAGUGGACAUAGAUAGUAAUAAUACUGAUCUUGAAAAGAGCAGUCUUAAAUAGAUCCCAUUAAUAGUUAAAGAUAACAUAUCUUAGAAUUCUAGAUAUUAGAGAGAUUAUCUAGAGCUGUAAUCUAGAUAUUUUAUAGAUCUUUGCUGUGCUGUUUUGAAUUUGUGUUGGAGUAGAACAAUCAGAUGACAAAAGCUCAUCCCACAUGGAAAAAUCAAAGCAUUCAUUACAGAGAGAAUUUUGAAAUAAAUGCAUAUAUAAAAAAUAUAUAUGCAUAUAUAAUGCAUAUGUAUAUGCAUAUAAAAUAUAUAUAUAUAAAAUGAGGGUUAUAAACAAUGAAGGAAAUAGUGAUACUAUCUAUGUGGGAACAAUACUAGUAUCCUCCCUUUGGAUGAAUACAGUAGCUACAGAUGCAAUUCUGGGGACUCUGUUUAGCAAUAGCUUAACUAUUGCUUGGCUACAAGCAUGGAUAACUUGUUCAAAGAUAAUGAGGAGUUGUAAAUAUUUAAAUAAACAGGAUUUGCAACAUAAAAAGCUUUGUGACUAUGUGUCUGAAUUCUUAGAGUUUUCUCCCAGCAAGACCUUGGAUGUGGCAGACUUUUCUGUAAUUGUCCAUCUCGCCCCUAUUUCAUGAAAAGCCAGAGCUUCUCUACUUAGUUUGCUAACCCCAAAUAUAUAAAUUCAAUAGAAGUACUAGCCUGUUUUUACUGGUUUAUUUGCUUUAUCUAAAAAAAACAAGGCAUAGUUUAAAGUCUGUUUUUGAUAGCAUAACAAAACAAAGGUUCUCAUUUUAAUAAUGCAUCACAUAUACACUUGGUAACUAUUGCAUAGUAAUAAUUUAAUAACUUGAGAAAUAUAUUUAUGCAUGUAUGUGUAUAUGUUCAUAUAUAUGUUAUUUUUAAUUCAGAAGUAAAACAAAUAUUGGAAGAGGCCACAGUUAUUAUAAAAAUAAUUUGACCAGUAUUGGACAAUGCAAAUAGCAAUCAUUUAGAAGUUUCU
rnacentral:lncRNA from 1 species